GGCAGAAGCUCGGCUCCGGCUCCGCGCCGCGUGGCUGCUCGGGUCUCCGGGCGCCUCUCUCCCUCGACCCGGGCAGCCUGCGCGUGCUGUGAGGGAACCGGAGAUCAGGACCCCGGGAGCCCACGUGUGCAGCAUCCUAUGGGCACUGAAAUACAGCCUACCCAUGUGUAUUUCCUGUAAUGGACAAACUGGAUGCUAAUGUGAGUUCCAAGGAGGGUUUCAGGUCAGUGGAGAAGGUCGUGCUUCUUACUUUUCUCUCAGCGGUUAUCCUGAUGGCCAUCCUGGGCAACCUGCUGGUGAUGGUGGCUGUGUGCAGGGAUAAGCAGCUCAGGAAAAUAAAAACCAAUUAUUUCAUUGUAUCUCUUGCCUUUGCCGAUCUGCUGGUUUCGGUGCUGGUGAUGCCCUUUGGUGCCAUUGAGCUGGUUCAAGACAUUUGGAUUUAUGGGGAGAUGUUCUGCCUUGUCCGCACCUCGCUGGAUGUUCUGCUCACAACAGCAUCGAUUUUUCACCUGUGCUGCAUUUCCCUGGAUAGGUAUUACGCCAUCUGCUGCCAGCCUUUGGUUUACAGGAACAAGAUGACACCUCUGCGUAUCAUGUUAAUGCUGGGAGGCUGCUGGGUCAUUCCCAUGUUCAUCUCUUUUCUCCCCAUAAUGCAAGGCUGGAAUAACAUUGGUAUAGUUGAUUUGAUAGAGAAAAGGAAAUUCAACCACAACUCUAACUCAACAUACUGUGUCUUCAUGGUCAACAAGCCCUAUGCCAUCACCUGCUCCGUGGUGGCCUUCUACAUCCCGUUUCUCCUCAUGGUGCUGGCCUAUUACCGCAUCUACAUCACUGCUCAGGAGCAUGCCCACCAGAUCCACGUGUUACAACGGGCAGGAGCUCCCUCAGAGGGCAGACCCCAGCCUGCGGACCAGCAUAGCUCUCACCGCAUGAGGACAGAGACCAAGGCAGCCAAGACUCUGUGCAUCAUCAUGGGUUGCUUCUGCCUCUGCUGGGCUCCCUUCUUUGUCACCAACAUUGUGGAUCCUUUCAUAGACUACACUGUCCCUGGGCAGGUGUGGACCGCUUUCCUCUGGCUUGGCUAUAUCAAUUCGGGGUUGAACCCCUUUCUCUAUGCUUUUUUGAAUAAGUCUUUUAGACGUGCCUUCCUCAUCAUCCUCUGCUGUGAUGAUGAGCGCUACAGAAGACCUUCCAUUCUGGGCCAGACUGUCCCCUGUUCAACCACAACUAUUAAUGGAUCCACACAUGUACUAAGGUACACAGUCCUGCACAGUGGACAUCAGCAGGAACUCGAGAAACUGCCCAUACACAAGGACCCAGAAUCCCUGGAAUCAUGCUUCUGAGGACAAGACUCACCACCCACCCACUAAUUUUCAUUCAUGUGUGCAUGAACAGGACACCCUGGCAUCACUCCGAGCCCUCAUCACCAUCAUGAGGCAUGAGGCAGGCAGGGCCAGGGCCCAGUGAUGGUACAUGGAGGAGGCUAUUGGCAGGCCCAAGUGUGCAGGAGCCUGGAAUGACUGAAUAACCAGCAACAGAACUGAGAACCAGAUGUGUGAGGGAGGGAAAUCAUUGGUCCUCAAUCUUGCAGACCACACCAAAGUCAUUCAGACCAGGACUGGCCCUGCAGAAGACAAUUUGACUUCCCCCAUAUUUUUGUUUGAAAUCUGGGACACUACUUGGAUGAGCUGUUGGUUCCAGUAUCAACUUAUCACUACAAACAGUUUAUGGUUCUUUUGCUCUUUCACAAGGUCUCUGAGACCUCUCAUUACAAAUGUGGGGAGGUAUUAUUGAUUCCAUUUUAUAGAAGAGGAAAAAGUCUUUUAUGGCAAGUGACUGGCUCAAGGAUAUGAGGCAGAAGUCAGGACAGAAAACAUGUUAGUUGUAACAUAGCCCCCUCCCGUGAUAAAUUAUACAUUUGAGACUAUAUAGUUUCACACAAACGAUGCGUUUUUGCAAUCUGUUGUCACAGUAAGUUCCAGCUACAUAGAUACAAUAAAAUACCUCUUGCCCUCAAGUCAGUCCCCAUCCCAUUCCCAGGAAUACUCUUAUCAUUUGUCAUAUCUAAUUCAAGAACUUACAGUUUUGUUUUUAUACACAAUUAAGAUGAUGUAGUUUGCCUUUUCAGUGGUAAGCCCUAGACAUACUUCACACCAACACAAAUGCUCAUGUUGGUUGCUUGUGCUACAUUUCAUACUUUAAACACUGUAGUUUCCAGUGCUGCAUCUUUGAUGUGCUGAUUGCAUCCCGUGUCUAAGUGGGGGGCCUGAGGCCUAUCUCAGAAGACAAGUGGCCUCCACACAAUUUUCUGAGACUGCUCACCACAGGAAGGUCAGCUGGUGGUGGCAGUGGAUGUUGAGUUAGAUCAUCCAGCAAUGAGUAUGCCCUGGCCUCCUGCUGUCUUGAGGAACUGAGAAAUGGCUCCAUGCAGACGUCAGAGGUGGACUUGAGUCCUGCUUCCACCAAUUCCUAGAUGUGUUAGGUAUUUAAUACACUAAGUCAGUCUGUGUAUAAACCUGUUAUUGUGAGGGGCUAGGGAAGGUACCUGGUAGUCACUUAACAUGCAACCUUUCAUAUUGUGGGAUGUCCUCUCCAUGGCCUUACCAGUUCUCUCUGCUUCCUGCCACCCUCCUGGGAUAUGGAUUAAGGGACAGGAUGGAAAGCUUUCCCUUCCCUCCAAAAACACCAAGA